UCAUUUCUAGUUUAUAGGGUAGAAUACUAGUUUGUCAUAUUAGAGGAGACUUGUGUCGAAGUGGG
rnacentral:tRNA from 1 species